rnacentral:tRNA from 1 species
GGGCCCGUAGCUCAGGGGAUAGAGCACCAGGCUUCGAACCUGGGUGUCGCACGUUCGAAUCGUGCCGGGCCCA